UAGGGAAUCUUCGGCAAUGGGGGCAACCCUGACCGAGCAACGCCGCGUGAGUGAAGAAGGUUUUCGGAUCGUAAAGCUCUGUUGUAAGAGAAGAACGUGUGUGAGAGUGGAAAGUUCACACAGUGACGGUAACUUACCAGAAAGGGACGGCUAACUACGUGCCAGCAGCCGUGGUAAUACGUAGGUCCCGAGCGUUGUCCGGAUUUAUUGGGCGUAAAGCGAGCGCAGGCGGUUUAAAAAGUCUGAAGUUAAAGGCAGUGGCUUAACCAUUGUUCGCUUUGGAAACUGUUAAACUUGAGUGCAGAAGGGGAGAGUGGAAUUCCAUGUGUAGCGGUGAAAUGCGUAGAUAUAUGGAGGAACACCGGUGGCGAAAGCGGCUCUCUGGUCUGUAACUGACGCUGAGGCUCGAAAGCGUGGGGAGCAAACAGG
rnacentral:rRNA from 1 species